GUGAGGCUGUUUUUGAUGAUUUUUCGGAUUCCAAUUAUGUUUGUUUGUUUGUUUUUUUUUUUUUUUUGUUUGAGCGAUAGGUAGCUCGCUACCCGCUUCGUUUAUUUCAUUUAGAAAUAAACUUAGUUGAAAAUAUGAAUCAACUAGAAUUCGAACUUGGGUCUCGGGUACCAACCACCAAGCCCUUUGCCACUUGCUCUAGGGACGGUUGCUUGCUGGGUUUUUAGUGUUUGCUGGAGUGUUUCUUACUGGAUUCAUGGGCUGUGAGGGAGU
rnacentral:lncRNA from 1 species